GUACACUCCUGCGGGAGGCAGCAGUAGGGAAUCUUCCACAAUGGGUGCAAACCUGAUGGAGCAAUGCCGCGUGAGUGAAGAAGGUCUUCGGAUCGUAAAGCUCUGUUGUUAGAGAAGAACACGUGCUAGGUAACUACUAGCGCCUUGACGGUAUCUAACCAGAAAGUCACGGCUAACUACGUGCCAGCAGCCGCGGUAAUACGUAGGUGACAAGCGUUGUCCGGAUUUAUUGGGCGUAAAGGGAGCGCAGGCGGUCUGUUUAGUCUAAUGUGAAAGCCCACGGCUUAACCGUGGAACGGCAUUGGAAACUGACAGACUUGAAUGUAGAAGAGGAAAAUGGAAUUCCAAGUGUAGCGGUGGAAUGCGUAGAUAUUUGGAGGAACACCAGUGGCGAAGGCGAUUUUCUGGUCUAACAUUGACGCUGAGGCUCGAAAGCGUGGGGAGCGAACAGGAUUAGAUACCCUUGUAGUCCCAUGA
rnacentral:rRNA from 1 species